rnacentral:pre_miRNA from 1 species
CAUAUAAGGAGCCUGCGAAAAAGCAGUUCCAAACUCUGUGAUGGGACCUGAGAUUCUGCCUUUCUAGCAAGCUCUCAGGGGAUG